rnacentral:SRP_RNA from 1 species
GCUGGGCGUGAUGGCUCACGCCUGUGAUCCCAGCACUUUGGGAGGCUGAGGCGGGUGGAUCACCUGAGGUCAGGAGUUCAAGACCAGCCUGGCCAACAUGGUGAAACCCUGUCUCUA